rnacentral:rRNA from 1 species
CACCCAGGACGGUGGAUCACUCGGCUCGUGGGUCGAUGAAGAACGCAGCAAAUUGCGCGUCGACAUGUGAACUGCAGGACACAUGAACAUCGACGUUUCGAACGCAAAUUGCGGUCCAUGGAUUCCGUUCCCGGGCCACGUCUGGCUGAGGGUCG